UACGAAGGGGGCUAGCGUUGCUCGGAAUCACUGGGCGUAAAGGGCGCGUAGGCGGACUCUUAAGUCAGGGGUGAAAUCCCUCGGCUUAACCGAGGAACUGCCGUCCAAACUGCUUCGCUUGAGACCGGGAGAGGUGAGUGGAAUUCCCAGUGUAGCGGUGAAAUGCGUAGAUAUUGGGAGGAACACCAGUGGCGAAGGCGGCUCACUGGACCGGUACUGACGCUGAGGCGCGAAAGCGUGGGGAGCAAACGGG
rnacentral:rRNA from 1 species